ensembl:snRNA U2 U2 spliceosomal RNA
ACUGCUUCUCGGCCUUUUGGCUAAGAUCAGGUGUAGUAUCUAUUCUUAUCAGAAGUACGGCCUGGGUUCUCUUUAUUCUCGGACCCUAAACGUUAUGGAGAAUUUGUCAGGUUGUUAGUUAUCCCCACUCUAGACUAGGCAGGGACAGGAGAUUUACACCAUUCCCACUCUGCAUCUCUGCCCCAAA